GACGAACGCUGGCGGCGUGCUUAACACAUGCAAGUCGAACGGAAAGGCCCUGCUUUUGUGGGGUGCUCGAGUGGCGAACGGGUGAGUAACACGUGAGUAACCUGCCCUUGACUUUGGGAUAACUUCAGGAAACUGGGGCUAAUACCGGAUAGGAGCUCCUGCUGCAUGGUGGGGGUUGGAAAGUUUCGGCGGUUGGGGAUGGACUCGCGGCUUACCAGCUUGUUGGUGGGGUAGUGGCUUACCAAGGCUUUGACGGGUAGCCGGCCUGAGAGGGGGACCGGCGACAAUGGGACUGAGAUACGGCCCAGACGCCUACGGGAGGCAGCAGUGGGGAGUACUGCACAGUGGGCGGAAGCCUGAUGCAGCGACGCCGCGUGCGGGAUGACGGCCUUCGGGUUAUAAACCGCUUUCGCCUGUGACGAAGCGUGAGUGACGGUAAUGGGUAAAGAAGCACCGGCUAACUACGUG
rnacentral:rRNA from 1 species